UGUUCAAGGGCACAGUGCGCUCCAACCUGGACCCCUUUGGCGAACAGCCCGACGGCGAGCUGUGGCGCGCGCUGGAGCUGGUGCACCUGAAGGAGGCGGUCGCGGAGCUGGGCGGGCUGGACAGCGCCGUGGCGGAGGGAGGCUCCAACUUCUCGCUGGGCCAGAAGCAGCUGGUGUGCAUGGCGCGCUGUGUGCUCAAGCGCACACGCAUCCUGGUGCUGGACGAGGCCACGGCGGCCAUGGACCUGCAGACGGACGCGCUGAUCCAGAAGACCAUCCGCAAGGCCUUCGCGGACCGCACCACCGUCACCAUUGCGCACCGCCUGGACACCAUCAUCUUCUCCGACCGCAUCCUGGCCAUGGCGGCGGGCCAGCUCAAGGAGUUUGACUCGCCCACCACGCUGCUCAAGAGCCCCGCCAGCUUC
rnacentral:lncRNA from 1 species